UUGUGCCGGUGCCUGGGGGAGUCCGGCCUUCGCAGAGCAGGUCGCGGGGUCAGAAACGGGGUGGGGCUUGGCUUUAGUAUUUGCCCUGGAGACCUAAUAUUUCCGCAGGUUUCGUGAAGGGACAGUCUCCUACGAGGAUAUUAGUAGCAGUGUUUUUUAAACUGGAAGAAAGUCAAGGAGAGGUAGGAGAUAAAUGCAGUAAGGAUGCUGAUACUCUUAAUGGAACUGAAAUCCAACAAGGUCUCUACCUGCAAGGGGACCCUCUGAAGAUCUCCAGAGCUCUCGCUGUGCAGCUCUUUUCUCUAUAGUACUCCACCCUUAAACUCUAACUACCUUGGCCUCGCUGGACUCCCAGCUGCAUCUUUUCAAUUCAGAGAGAUCACUGGACUAUAACUGGCUUCCCCUUCCCUCUUCUGCAGCCUUGAAACUCUCUCCAAGCAGUGAACUGGGGCAAUCUUGGGACUCAUUUGUUUCCGUCUCAGAGACUGCUGUCUUUUGUUGCCUGAUAGCCAAUGUUUUAAAAUCAUUGUUUCCUAUAUUUGUCUUUUUUUUUUUUUCAGUGUUUCAAGAGAUAAGGUAAAGUCUCUGUUAUUCCUCAUGCUUUCUUCCAAAUCUUUUGUUUUAUGCAUUUAUAUCUUUAAUCCAUCUGGAAUUUAUUUUUUUAUCGAGAGAAAUAUAGUUUUAAUAUUUUUUCCAAUGGUUAACCAGUUGCCCAAAAUCAUAUUUUGAAUUCUUCCCUUCCCUCCUCACCCAGUUGGAAAUGUCACCUUUAUCAUAAGCCAAACUUUCAUA